GAUGGUGAUACUGAGGCACAAAAAAGAGGGGAGACCAUUUGGAGUUUCUGAGCAACUAUGAUGGUGAUACUGAGGCACAAAAAAGAGGGGAGACCAUUUGGAGUUUCUGAGAAACUAUGGACAUUAUGGUAAAACAGUUGCAGCUCAGUCGUCAGAUGCAGUGGAUUUACCCAGUGAAUGGACUUUUUGAGAAGAAUUGUGGAAAUGGCAAGUAGCAUGUUUUCCAUAAUUGGUUAGUGAGAGACCUAUUGAACUCUUGCUCUUGCUGUUCUGAUCAUAUGGCAAUAGGAACAGCAGAUUACACUGAUUAAAAUAAUAGGUCUGGUGUCUCU